rnacentral:lncRNA from 1 species
UCGUUUUGUUUGAGACUGUCUAGUUUUAGUGGGAGUUUGCUCUUUAUGCAUGCAUUGUGUUUUUGAAUGCUCUAUUUUGUUUUGGAUAUGUUUUAUUAUGAAAUUUUGUUGAGUACUCAUUUUGGUUGAUGGUUACACUCUGUAUUAUUAUUAUUGUUUUGCUUGAUCUCACUUUUGUUGGUGACCAGUUGGAAACAGACAUGAUGAUCACAUUACAUGUAGUUUUCAUGCUACACUUCUAUAAUGAAUCUAUGUCAUUUAGGGAUAUUGGUAAUGUAGUUGAUGAUGAACUUAGUCAUGAGAUCUAUGGCGAAUGUUUCUUCAGCUCUUUAUCAAUAUAACUAAUGGACGAGAUUGUUUUUGGAUACCUUGUAUGACUGCGUUUGUUGAGCUCAUUUUGGUGUAUGUAUUUUAUUUAACAUAUGUUCGCCCAAGUGGGAGAUUGUUGGAUUUAAUUUUCUAUUGUGGGCUUAAUAUGUAAAAUUAAAUAUGUACAGCAGUCCAAUUGUAAAGUCAAUUUUAAAUGUGGUCUUGAUUGUGAAUAAUUGACUAUUGAGGUAUCAACUAAUUAUAGAUAUUAAGUGUAG